CUGGUCCGGGUGUGGCAGGGGCAUCAGCUGGAUUGUAGCUUGUUUAGGAGAUCCCCUAGGGCCCCUGGAGGUUCCCGCUGGGGCUCAGCCUCCCAGGGGCCCCCCGUGUGACUUCCCACCUAGCCACCUGAGGUACUGUUUCUCCAUCUGCCUGGUGUCUUCCCAGAUUUUGAAACUAAACGGAUUAAUCUGUUGAUGCUUUCCGUGUACAUUGGCAGGCAUGGCACCCCAGGCGCACCAACUCCAGAUGGAAGACAUACUAAUACCCCUCAAAAAAAUGCUACAAAAAAAACAGAUGAGGAACAAAAGGAAACAACUUCAAAGGAAGGAGGCAGCCAUGACACGCCAGCCAUUCCAGGCCAGGCACAGCUCAUCAGCCACACCGCGCCAGGCACACUACGGCAGGCGCGGCAGGCGCGGUACAGCAGUCAAACCACGCCAGACUCAGCACGAUAGACACAGCUUGUCAACCACAUCACGUCAAUCACAGAACUCCCGGCACAACAAGCCAGGCAAACCGUACCAGGCACAGCAUGCCAGGCAAACCAAGCCAGACGAAGCACGACAGAGACGCCACACCAGGCAAACCACACCAGCCACACAACGCCAGGCACACCAUGCCAGGCACAGCACCUCAGGCACACCACGCCAGAGACACCACAGCAGGCAUAGCACCUCAAGCAUAGCACAACAGGCACACCAAGCCAGGCACAGCAUGCCAGGCUUGCCCCGCAAGGCACAGGACACCAAACACAACACACCAGGCACAACACACAAGCCACAGCAUGCCAGGCACAGCAUGCCAGGCUUGCCACAUAAGGCACAGGACACCAAACACGACACACCAGGCACAACACACCAGCCAAAGCACACUCGGCACCACGCGGCAGGCACAACGCAGCUGGCACAGCGCAGCAGACACAGCCAGCCAGGUCCACGCACCAUCUACACAUGCUUUAAGGUAGUAGCAAUCUGCUCUGCUUGGGAAAAGCCUUUCUGAAGGUUAUAAUCCCAUCUUCUCUGCCUGCAAGCUCGAGCCUUUGUUAAUUGAGGAUCUACUGCAUGCAAAGGUCUGGAGUGCAAGAAGGAGCCGGAUCAGCUCCGGAUGGAACAGAUACCAAUACUUAAAAAAAAAAAACAAAACAAACAAACAAACAAAAAAAAAACCCUUCAAAGCAUAGAAGCGGACCCAAUCCUGGAUCUUCUAAGAUGGCAUAUCUGAAAGAGACGGUUGAGUGAAAGACCCAGAGACUGAGGACUGGGGAUUGAACCUGGGUCUCAAGAUGUGCUGGGCAAACACAAUAACGGCUGAGCCCCUCACUGGGGAAUUGGAGACCAGCUGGCUAUACUACUGAGUGGUGACCUCAGAUCCGACCUCCAGGCACAUAGGCCCCGCAGAAGGUCCCUCAGCAGGCAGCAGGGACCCCAACCUAUGCUUCCUUCUUCUCCAGCUUGGCAAAACCCAACCCUGUUGGCUUCGGUGACCUUUCCUGGAUCGCUGGCGGAGCGAGGACAAGCAAGGCUACUGUGUGAAGCCUACUGAAGACCUUGAGGGAACCACAGUAAACAUUGCAACCGUGUUUGAUGAAGAACUUGGCUUUGGGUCCUGCCAGCAGGAAGAGCUCAAACUGGCUUGGCAAGGGCAGGCAGGCCUGAGGCACAGCUUGGCUGCAGGGCCUGGGAAGGAACUCUGAGACGACUGUGCACUCGAGAGGAACUUGGAGCCUUCUCUCCCAAAGCAGCUACCCACCUUCUUUGUAUCUCUAAGCUCCUAGGAGCUUGGCUGGAGCUCAUCCUGACGACAGCGCACUGGCAUUCCUUGGGACGAGGAGAAACUUGAAGCAAUCUCUUGGCACGGGGCACACUUGGAACCUGCCUCUACUACCAGAUGUUGAGCUGUUUAAAGCUCGCUGCCCGUGGUGAGGGCUAUUCGAGGGACAGUCCCCAGCAGGUGCCCCGUAGGGGAGGUGGUGGCCUAGGCGGUGGCGUUCAGGUUAAGGAAGCUCCAGCGACUGCAAAAAAAACGAAAGACUUUUAUUGAAAAAUAUGAAACGGC
ensembl:antisense